GAGAUAUUAGUAAAACAAAUCUACAUCACCUUGUCAAGGUGAAAUUACGGGUUAAACCCCCGUAUAUCUCU
rnacentral:tRNA from 1 species